CUCCUCAGGAAAAUUGGCUGAAAGAGACAUUUUCCAUGCUCUUGACUCCUCUGGCUGUGCUGGCCCUCUCCGGCAUCUUCUCCCAUUAGCGACCCACACCCAGAAAGAGAGGAUGCUGUCAAUCAACUUGCUGUUAUUCAUCCACCACUAAGUUUGAAGUCAUUUCACCUCUCUGGGCCUCAGUGUUCUCAGGCUGCAUAUGGUGGUGCAGGCCUGUGGUCUCAGCACUGGAGAGAAGGAGGCCAAGAAGAGAAAGUUGAGGCUAGCCUGGGUAUUGGAAAAGUACUUGCUGUAGGAGAACAACGCUGUAGCUCUCUAAUGUGGAAAAAGGAAAAAAAAAAAGU
rnacentral:lncRNA from 1 species